rnacentral:rRNA from 1 species
ACGGGAGGCAGCAGUGGGGAAUCUUGCACAAUGGAGGAAACUCUGAUGCAGCGAUGCCGCGUGAGUGAAGAAGGCCUUUGGGUUGUAAAGCUCUUUUGUAGGGGAAGAUAAUGACUGUACCCUAAGAAUAAGGUCCGGCUAACUUCGUGCCAGCAGCCGCGGUAAUACGAAGGGACCUAGCGUAGUUCGGAAUUACUGGGCGUAAAGCGCGCGUAGGCCGUUGAGUUAGUUAAUUGUGAAAUCCCAAAGCUUAACUUUGGAACUGCAAUUAAAACUGCUCGACUAGAGUUUGAUAGAGGAAAGCGGAAUACAUAGUGUAGAGGUGAAAUUCGUAGAUAUUAUGUAGAACACCAGUUGCGAAGGCGGCUUUCUGGAUCAACACUGACGCUGAGGCGCGAAAGUAUGGGUAGCAAAGAGGAUUAGAUACCCUCGUAGUCCAUACCAUAAACGAUGAUUGCUAGAUGUUGGAAAUUUAUUUUCAGUAUCGCAGCUAACGCAUUAAGCAAUCCGCCUGGGGAGUACGACCGC